UUUGAUCCGCGGUAUGUGCAGUUCGUUUGUUCUGGCCCUGCUUUGUUUUAACUUCUUCGAGCCCAGCCCAUUUAUCAUCUCCACCAGGUGAAAUGUCGCAUCGUCGUUGAGGGUUCCACCCGUGUUCUUCUUCUUCGCCUCUCCAGAGCUCAUGGCGAUUACGGAUUCACAAGCUAUAUUUCUUUCAUCUGCUUCAUCACAGUACGAAAGGAUACCAGUUACCGAAUAAGCCUCUUUAAACCCUCCAUUAAUCUAUCUCCCACGCUCUAUAUUCAUUGAGAGUUCUGAUUUUGCAAGGCGGUGAAGGUUCUACUAUAAAAAGUUUUCCUCUCCGAUUUGCAGACGGCCGCUCCUCCUCCACUGUUCAAGUCCAGUUGUUCUGUCUCUGGGAAGCCAGGAAUUUCCGCCGUGGUGGUGUGCUCAUGGGAGUGGAUAUGCUUCUGCUGGAUUCUCAGUAUAAUCAAUGAAAGAACGAAGAGAUGAUUAGCCCUGCGUUCGCCAUGAAAUCUGUGGAGUUUUAGUUCUGCUUGCUGUUCUAACAUCAGUCAGCUGAUGUGAUAGAGUUGCAGAUUGGUGUCAAGGUAUGCUGAAAAAUCUCUUUCACGUCGUCAAAUGUUUGAUGCAAUUGGUACCAACUUCCAUGGUGAAUUUGAUUUCUCAAUCUGUGUGAGUGGUAGAUGACUCAGUAUUGAAUUAUUCAUUUUUACAAUUCAAGUCUCAGAAACGUGAUGUUCAGACUCACAAAGGAGACAGUAUCAAGGUCCACUAUCGGAUAAGUGUCGUAUUAAAUAAUUUUGUUACGAUAAGCAGUCUAUGCUGGUGUAAGGAAUCAAAUUUGACGUGGCUCUGGUCUUACAUACUUAGACAUUGGUGUUGUUCGCAAGCAAUACUCACUCUUCUUUUUGUUUGAUACACCGAGAGAUUGUGUUGCUGUUCGGGGUGAAAAUUGAAGUAUUGAUUAUUAUUAAGAUUGCCUAGAUGAAGUAUGAGUAUUGGGGGCUGUUCGUUUUUUUUUCAUUCAGAUGAGCCAUCUGAGUGAAGAUGAGAGUUUUGUAGGUUUAGUCACUAAAAGUACAAGUCAUCUCGAUGGUUCAUCUGAAUGAGUUUUAAAAAUUUAGGCUUAAUUUCAAAAAUCAGCUGGCUGAUCCAAAUGAGAUCAUCUAGAUGGAUAUGAGUUUAUCAAAAUGGGAUAAUGUCUAUUAUACCUCAGUGUAAUUAACAAAUUACAGACUCAAACAUAAUAUCAUUUUAUCACUCAUGAAAAACGACAAAACCACAAAAAUAUAUAUUUUCCCUCCAAAACUACAAAACACAUUUUUCUGCCAAAACCACAAACAUAAUUUUUCACCAAAAUCGCAAUUUUCUCGUAAAAAAUAUACUUUCCCGCCAAAAUAGAUGUUCUCGUCAAAACUACAAAAACGCACUUUCACAUCAAAACACGUUUUCCCGUAAAAACUCCAAAAACGCAUUUUCCGCCAAACCCGCAAAAACAUGUUUUCCCACCAAACCUGCAAAACCAUUUUUUCCGCCAAACCCACAAAAUGCGUUUUCCCGUCAAAACUAUAAAAUCGCGUUUUCCCGUCAAAAUCAUAAAAACGUGGUUUCUAACCAAAGCCGCAAAAGCAAAUUUUCCUGCCAAAACCGCAAAAAUGAGUUUCUCACCAAAACCGCAAAAAUGCAUUUUCCUGCUAAAACCGCAAAAAUAUGUGUUUCCCGCCAAAACUGCUAAAACGCGUUUUCCCGCGAAACCCGCCAAAAUGUGUUUCCCGCCAAAUCCGUAAAAACGUGGUUUCUUGGCAAAAACCCAAAAACGCAUUUUAGUGCCAAAAUCGUAAAAGGUGUUUUCCCGCCAAAAUCUUAAAAACACGUUUUCCCACCAAAACUUUAAAAGUGUGUUUUUCCACCAAAACCGCAAAGCAUAUUUUUCCGCUAAAAAUGCAAAAUUUGAGUACAUAAUGCUCUUACCAUUGCUUUCAUAUUUUAAAUUUUAGUUUUAUAAAAUUUGAGUUUCCACUUUAAAUUUCUACUUUGAGUUGUUUGGAAGUUUAUUCAAAUUUGAGUUUCUAUUUUGAGUUUGAUUAAAAGUUAUAGUUGUAUUAAAUUCUAAUGAAAAUUUAAUUAAAAAUAAAAAAUUAUUUAAAUAAAAUAAAUAUAUUUUUUAAAAAAUAAAAAUAAAUAAAUAAAUUUAUAUGAAAUAAAAAUUUGUAAAUGUGAAAUGUUAAUUUUAAAAUAAUUUCAGUAGAAAUAUAUUUUAUACUAAAUAAUAAAAAUUAGUAUAGCUAAAUUUAAUAUUAAGCAUAUGAUUAAUUCAAAACAUGGGUAUGUUUGUAAUUUGUUUAUUAAACAUAUCUGGAUGGAAAUAGAAAUAAAGAAAUAAACAUAAAAUUCAUGUAGAUGACUCAUUUAGAUGGCUCAUCUGGAUAGAGAAACGAACAGCUCCUAAAAUCUGGAUGGAUCAUUUGGAUGGAUCACAUAGAUAAAGCAGCUGGAUGGAGAUGGUAGAUGGAAAAACGAACAGCCCCUUGGUCUCUCUCACAUAUGAAUUUCUUUGCAAGUAACUCAAAUGUGUUUUAGUAUGAAGUUUAUGAAAAAUGUCCAUAUGAAGAUAA